CCUACGGGGGGCAGCAGUGGGGAAUAUUGGGCAAUGGGCGCAAGCCUGACCCAGCAACGCCGCGUGAAGGAAGAAGGCGUUCGGGUUGUAAACUUCUUUUCUGAGGGACGAAGAAAGUGACGGUACCUCAGGAAUAAGCCACGGCUAACUACGUGCCCGCAGCCGCGGUAAUACGUAGGUGGCAAGCGUAAUCCGGAUUUAUUGGGUGUAAAGGGCGUGUAGGCGGGAAAGCGAGUCAGAUGUGAAAACUCCGGGCUCAACCCUGAGCCUGCAUUUGAAACUGUUUUUCUUGAGUGCUGGAGAGGCAAUCGGAAUUCCGUGUGUAGCGGUGAAAUGCGUAGAUAUACGGAGGAACACCAGUGGCGAAGGCGGAUUGCUGGACAGUAACUGACGCUGAGGCGCGAAAGCGUGGGGAGCAAACAGGAUUAGAUACCCGGGUAGUC
rnacentral:rRNA from 1 species